UACGGAAGGGUGCAAACGUUGCUCGGAAUUAUUGGGCGUAAAGCGCACGUAGGCGGCUUUGCAAGUCGGAUGUGAAAUCCCUCGGCUUAACCAAGGAAGUGCAUCCGAAACUGCAGAGCUUGAGUACUUAAGAGGAUCGCGGGAAUUCCCGGUGUAGAGGUGAAAUUCGUAGAUAUUAGGAAGAACACCAGUGGCGAAGGCGGACUCACUGGUCCGGUACUGACGCUGAGGUGGCGAAAGCGUGGGGAGCAAACAGG
rnacentral:rRNA from 1 species